CACCUUUCUCCCGACCCACUAAGAAACCUAAUCCUUCUCAACCUUCAUGCACGCCAUCCUUUUUUUUCUUGGCUUCCUAACACAAAAUAGCCAAUGCACCGAUGCCACUCCUCUCUUCUCCAUCUCUUCCUCACGGCCGGCUGUCCACCUCCUUCCCUCUCUGAUUCACACCGCAGCCAAGGAACUCUUCAUCCAUGCCGCCCUUCGUGAUUUUCAACCCUGAUGCUUCCACUGUCGGCUUCUCACGCUUCGAACGUCGGAUGCUGCUUUGCUUUCUACCGCACACCACGAAGACCGGCAGUGCCAUACUCACCUUCCUCAUCACCGCCAGCCGGCUGCCAUCUCUCCACUCUAUCUCAAUCCUCCACGACAUUUCCUUGCCCCCAAUCUGCUGCCGAUGCUUCAUCUCCGCCACGCCCAAAACCAGUCAUCACCCUUCGUCUCCUCUUCAAGUUAGAAGUGGAGCUUCUCCCAUCAUCGACGCGACUCUGUCCACCUCUUCUAUUAGUUUUCACCCAUCAGGCCGACCAUCUCCUUCUUCGGGCUAGAAGAAGAUAUUCGACCGCCCUUCCUCGCAGUAGUAGCCCUUCUUCGCAUUCCAACAAUUCUUCCUACAUUCAUCCUCCGGGUAGCAGCUUUCUUUCGACCUGUGGUUGAUCUUCAUGUGUUCGUUGGGUUGAUUUGGUUAUGCAUUGUUUAUGUCUGUGGAUUGUUAUUGUUGAAUGUUAAGUUCUUGUAUUAAUUUGACUUCCUGUGUUUCAAUUUGCACACAUUAUGAUUUCAUUGACUCAUGCCCACCAAGUGUUUGAUUAAAUGUCUUUUCCAUUAGAUAAGUUUUAGUUGAUGCAAUUUCUUUAAUUUAAUUCCAUGUAAUGCUUGUUAGUUUAUUGACUUUGUUUCCACGAUGCUUGUUCUUCAUUUGGAUGCCAUUAGGAUAGACUAGUUUCCACUUCCACCGAUCCUGAAUAACCUUCUAGUUCACUUGUUCUUAGACUUUGAGAUCAAUGGAAUGGAAAAGAUAUAAGUUUCUGGUUUUUUGGGUGCACUUCCACUGGUCCUGAAUAACCUUAACCCUUGUGCUAUCCCCUAAAAGUGUUAACUUUGAAGGUAAAACAAGAACAAAUGAUUUAAUUAGCUUAAAGCUUCUUCUUUCUCCUAUUCUCGAUGUAUUUAUUUGGUUUCUUCUUGUAGUCAAAGCUCUGAUGGGCUUCAAAGCAUCUAUAGAGGAUCCACAUAAUGUUCUAAAGAACUGGGACCAGAUCUCUGUUGAUCCGUGUAGCUGAACCAUGAUCACUUGCUCAUCUCAAAACCUAGUGAUUUGGCUAAUGGAUUUGCAUUGUUGCUGGAGUUAGUUUUGGGUGACAGAACUUUGACUGGGUCUGAAUCUCAACAUUGUGAAUCUAUAAACACCUACAUAGAGUAGAUACUAGUUAUCGCAAUCAGACCUUGUCAUGUGGACUACAAAAACAAUCUUACAUGUCAUCAGCAUGGAGCAACAACUACAUGCUAUGUGGUACUGCAUCUGAACCUCAGAGGUAUGACUGGGAAGUACUUCGAUGAAGAACUAUAAGAAGGCUUUGGGAUUUAAGCGAGAAGAUGGUUAAAACUAAUGAGUAAAGAACAUUCAAGUUAAGAGAAUAAGUAGCAUCUAUCAAGAUACUUUAAGUUCAUGCAAUAAAAUGUAGUCGAUAGGAGUAGUUUUGAGUGUCUCCUAAUUAAAAUUUCUUUGUAUGCAAGUAAUUAUAUUUGUUGUAGAAGUGUAAGGAUGAUAAUUUAUAUAUUUAUCUUGGUUGUUUAUUUAAUAAUA